rnacentral:rRNA from 1 species
AGCAGUCGCCGCGGGAAUACGUAGGUGGCAAGCGUUGUCCGGAAUUAUUGGGCGUAAAGCGCGCGCAGGUGGUUUAAUAAGUCUGAAGUUAAAGGCAUUGGCUCAACCAAUGUAUGCUUUGGAAACUGUUAGACUUGAGUGCAGAAGGGGAGAGUGGAAUUCCAUGUGUAGCGGUGAAAUGCGUAGAUAUAUGGAGGAACACCGGUGGCGAAAGCGGCUCUCUGGUCUGUCACUGACGCUGAGGCACGAAAGCGUGGGUAGCGAACAGGAUUAGAUACCCCAGUAGUCCCUGUCUCUUAUACC